rnacentral:lncRNA from 1 species
UAUGUGAGCAGUAACUUUCUAUUUCCCCUAAGCAGCCAAAGUUCAAGUCUGAGACCACUCUAGCUCUGGAGUAGAGAUUACUGUUUCACUAAGUAAAGGUUCAAUGCAGAGCAUACCUUCAUUAUGUAUAACAGUCCCUCUUUAACCAUCAAACUCUCAUAUAUUUUUAAUAAUUAAAAUGAGUGGGAAAUGUUGUUACAUUUUUAUUAUUAAUUACGAAAUUUAAUAUAUGAAUUUAUGGUUAGUGA